CUCAAUGGUAGCUGUGCGCAGGGCGCCUUCGGGUGCGCCGGUUUGGGUGGGUUUCCGGUCGACUAACCUGUGCAUAGCUGCCACCUUC
rnacentral:antisense_RNA from 1 species